GAUGAACGCUGGCGGCGUGCCUAACACAUGCAAGUCGAGCGAACAGACGAGGAUCUCGCUCCUCUGACGUUAGCGGCGGACGGGUGAGUACCACGUGGAUAACCUACCUAUAAGACUGGGAUUACUUCGGGAACCCGGAUCUAAUACCGGAUCAUAUAUUGAACCUCAUUGUUCAAUAGUGAAUGACGUUUUUGCUGUCCCUUCUAGAUGUUACCGCGCCGCUUUUGCUGGUUGGUACGGUAACGGCUUACCAAGGCAACGAUGCGUAGCCGAUCUGUGAGGGAGGACGGCCACACUGGGACUGAAACACGGUCCAGAAUCCGAAGGGAGGCAGCAGUAGGGAAUCUUGCGCAAUGGGCGAAAGGCUGACGGAGCAAAGGCGGGUGAGUGAAAGAGGUCUUGGGGUCGGAAAAGUCUAGUAUUAGGGAAGGACAAAUAUGUAAGUAACAAUGGACGUAUUGAAGGUAACUAAGCAAAAAGCCACGGCUAACUACGUG
rnacentral:rRNA from 1 species